GAUCCUGGCUCAGGACGAACGCUGGCGGCGUGCUUAACACAUGCAAGUCGAACGGAAAGGCCCUGCUUGCAGGGUACUCGAGUGGCGAACGGGUGAGUAACACGUGGGUGAUCUGCCCUGCACUUCGGGAUAAGCUUGGGAAACUGGGUCUAAUACCGGAUAGGAGCCAUCUUUAGUGUGGUGGUUGGAAAGUUUUUUCGGUGUAGGAUGAGCUCGCGGCCUAUCAGCUUGUUGGUGGGGUAAUGGCCU
rnacentral:rRNA from 1 species